AGCUUUGCGCAGUGGCAGUAUCGUAGCCAAUGAGGUUUAUCCGAGGCGCGAUUAUUGCUAAUUGAUGAAGCGUGAAAUAAGACCAGAUGUUUAGAACUGCAUUGGUCUGUUGAGGCUGCUGUAACAAAAG
rnacentral:snRNA from 1 species